rnacentral:rRNA from 1 species
UAUAUGCAAAUGGAAGUGGCGUAAGGGUGAGUAAUACGUGAGUAAUCUGCCUCCAAGAUGGGCAUAACCUGGCGAAAGCCGGACUAAUUCCCAAUGUGGUCGGUUGUCACAUGACAGCCUGUCUGAAGUCGGGGACCGCAAGGCCUGACACUUGGAGAUGAGCUCGCGUCCUAUCAGCUAGUUGGUGAGGUAACGGCUCACCAAGGCUUACGGGUAGCUGGUCUGAGAGGAUGGUCAGCCACACUGGGACUGAGACACUGCCCAGACUCCUACGGGAGGCUGCAGUCGAGAAUCUUUCGCAAUGGGCGCAAGCCUGACGAAGCGACGCCGCGUGCAGGAUGAAGGUCUUCGGAUUGUAAACUGCUGUCUUUUGGGAGCAAGGAACCGUCAUUAACACCGGCGGAACUUGAUAGUACCGAAGGAGGAAGCCACGGCUAACUCUGUGCCAGCAGCCGCGGUAAUACAGAGGUGGCAAGCGUUGUUCGGAUUUACUGGGC